GACAACACUGCCUUACAAGCCAUUUCUAAGGAGGCUUGCCAGCAUGUGCGGUUAUUGCUAGAACAGGCUUGUUUUCUAGCCGCUGAGACCCCAGGGCAAGCACUUUGCAUCAUGUCGUUAUCAUUGUCUGUUGGAAAGACCCGUUUUGCUGGGAGGGACCAUCUUUUGUCAGACCUGCAGUUCUGUGAAGGGUUUAGGUCCUGGAUGUUGUGUAAUAUAUCAGAUGAUUGAAACUGAUUUUCCAGGAGGUGUAACAGUGUAAAAUUCGAGUAGCUAACCUCUAUAAGGCAUUUCUGAUCUAAGUCAAGUGUGCAUUGUUAAAUAUUAAUUCCAUUAAGGUAUGUCAGCAGGGAAUUAAGAUAUGUGACCCAAAUAGAUUUCUUUCUAGUAAUUGAGUAUGAUAGAGAACUGGUGCUCCGUGGAUCUUAACCGGGGAGAAGUCAGGAAGAAGGGAAGAGGGAGGAACAGAACGAGCGGGGAGCUCCUGCACAAUGCGUGGGUUACUCCCACGGUGGGGCAGGCGGGUGGGUACGGAAGGGCUUGCCCAUGUCUGUUUUGAAAAUAUUUCCCCCGUAAGUCUGCUGUACCCAGUCCAAGGGAGUAUUGUUUAGAGAUAGUGAAAGAAAAUGAUUAAUGUGCCUCUUUUCCACUGUAUGUUGGGUGUGGGUAACCUUAAAGACAUCUGGGCUCCUCCUCUAGGUAGAAUUCCGUGCUCUUUGGGUGGGCCCAGAUUUCACUGUUCCCUCUUUCAGAACACCCACUGGUCGUUUCCAGCAAACCCUCCCCCUAGGUCGCUUAGGAUCAGCUGGUUUAGAACCACUGCCGCAGGUACUUCCUUCCAGUAUCUGUGUCUGUCUCCAGCGAGCUUGCGCAGGCUAUCACAACCCCUUCUUGGAUGUAUUUUCUUAUCAGUGCCUGAAGUGAUGAUGUGGUCUGCUGCUGAUCAAACUGGGGUCACAUGUCCCUGGGACAUGGUGGCCAGAGAGGACACCCAGUGCACGAGCAAGGCUGGAAAACAGAGCCAAGACACAAACUGUGAAGCAACAGCUCAACCUCCGAGAGCGAGUGGGCUUCGCGCUAUUUCUGGCCAGAGCAGAUGUGGCCUCGGGGGGCUGUGGGGAACAGUAUCCCUCAGGUAA
rnacentral:lncRNA from 1 species